UACGUAGGGUGCGAGCGUUAAUCGGAAUUACUGGGCGUAAAGCGUGCGCAGGCGGUGAUGUAAGACAGGUGUGAAAUCCCCGGGCUUAACCUGGGAACUGCAUUUGUGACUGCAUCGCUGGAGUGCGGCAGAGGGGGAUGGAAUUCCGCGUGUAGCAGUGAAAUGCGUAGAUAUGCGGAGGAACACCGAUGGCGAAGGCAAUCCCCUGGUCCUGCACUGACGCUCAUGCACGAAAGCGUGGGGAGCAAACAGG
rnacentral:rRNA from 1 species